rnacentral:lncRNA from 1 species
AUGCAGUCGUGCUCGUGUGUGAGAGUUUCAGGCCAGGAGGGAUCAAGGAAAAAAAGUCUAAAUAUAGUUGUAAUACACGUAUAGUAUCUUAAAGCAGGUUAGCAAAAUAUGGGUUAUCCCCGCAAAAAAAACUAUGGGUUAUCCUAUUUUUUCUGUAUAACAAAUUAAUACAUUCAUCCUCAUUACAUAAAUUAUUAUCAUAAUAGUCUGUAUUUAGCAAGGAAAUUAGCAUAGAAUUAAUUUGAAAAACAAAGCAUGACAUUAUCAACAAUCAGUAGAGAAAAAAUAGACUAAAAAAAAUCCUUAUCUCAUUCUCACCGUCUCACACACUCUCCCUCCACUUCCUCCCCUCCCUCCACUUCCUCCACGGUCUCACCCAGGAAAAGCUCACCCACCUUUUCGUCUCCUUGUCUUAGGGCCUCUUUGAUUCAUCCGAAACGCAGGAAUAGAAAAAAUAC